UACGUAGGGGGCAAGCGUUGUCCGGAAUCAUUGGGCGUAAAGCGCGUGUAGGCGGUCCGGUAAGUCGGCUGUGAAAGUCCAGGGCUCAACCCUGGGAUGCCGGUCGAUACUGCCGGACUAGAGUUCGGAAGAGGCGAGUGGAAUUCCCGGUGUAGCGGUGAAAUGCGCAGAUAUCGGGAGGAACACCAAUGGCGAAGGCAGCUCGCUGGGACGUUACUGACGCUGAGACACGAAAGCGUGGGGAGCAAACAGG
rnacentral:rRNA from 1 species